rnacentral:rRNA from 1 species
GGGUGCAAUCAUACCAGCAUUAAUCCACCGGAUCCCAUCAGAACUCCACUGUUAAGCGUGCUUGGGCGAGAGUAGUACAUGGAUGGGUGACCUCCUGGGAAGUCCUCGUGUUGAACCCGUC